rnacentral:misc_RNA from 1 species
AACAUAUAAUUCAAAUCUGAAGUUUUGAGGCAUUUUCCAAUUCCUUAUUCUCAGCAAACAACAGGACAGAAAUUUCUUGCUAAGUUGAUGCUGUUUUUCCUCUUUUAUCUAAUUAUGGAUCAUUAGUUUAUUGGUCGCUUUCCCUUUUAAGUCACCCCCUUCCCAAAUUGGUAGUUGUGAUCAGGUGGCUGCACUAGAAAUUAGAAAACUUCAAAAAUCAAAACCACCCAUCCAACUAAUAAAACCAACUUCAUUAUACUAAUCAAUCCUACACAGAACCCAAAAACUUCUGUGGAAAUUUAACCAACCACAACCCAUUACAUGUGGCAUCUCCCUGUAAACAUGUGCCUUAGAUUUAAUAUUGUUGCCAAUUAGAUCUCUCCUAUAUUUAAACUAUUUAGCAAUAGACAUGAGUACAUAACUAAGAUUUGAAAAGCAAUGAAAAAAAAAAU